CCCGAUGGUGCUUUUGCUAUUAAUGUUUGGACGAAAGAGAAGAUAUCUGAAGUGCUUAGUAGGGAUGUCCAAGCGGACGGAAUUUCUUAUGGGAAACUACUGUUGAAACCCCAGUUUGUCGUUGAUUUCUGCUUGUUUGGCGGUUUACAAGGUCUUGGGAAAUUCAUGCGUGUGCAUGUCCCACCAAACUGCAGUGAUGAGAAACUUGCAAAGGCUUCUGAGCUUGUGGUCCGGUUUUCGUCUGGCUUGGUUGGCCUGCUUGGCGAUCUUGUGCAAGGGUUCAUCUCCCUUGAUGAUGAAGGCAGUUCACAUGUGUCUCAUCGACUAGACACGGAUCUUAAGGCAAUUUCUUUUGGUACCCGCAAUAUGGCAAAGCCCCCUCCUGCAUGCCGUACUUGUCAAAGAGACAGCCUUGGCAAAAAUAUUAUCGAUGAAUCGGAUAGUGACAAUGAGACAUAGGAUAACGACAACGAUGACUCUGGUGAUGAUGAUGAUACAGACUUUCAAGUUUUUUACCAUGGUGAAAAAGGCCAUACUGGUUCUUCUUCCCGCAGCGGGGCAGUGAACGUGGCUUCUGGCAACGGGGUAGCAAAUGUGGACGCGCCGCACCCAGAUGAUGCAAAUGCUAAAUCACAUGACAGGGUAGGAGGAAUUGUCGAAGGCACACCUGACGGUGCGGGCGAUGAACCUAUGAUUGAGUCCCAGUUCAUGCCGACUGCUACUUCUAACACGAUCUCAAGCGGCUCAGGGGAUGGCGUGCUUAGCCAGCGUGACAUGACAGACACGCAGUUUGAUUUGGCCACUGAUUCUUCUAUGGAAAGAUGCAGUGCUCAGCUUGCUAAUACUUCGUCUUAUGAGCAGAAGCGCGAGAAUUUGAGGCUGCCAUCUCUGCCCUGUCCAGCUUCGCCACCCAGGCGUGCCCAGCUGUCAGAUAGGGAUAUUCAUCUUUCUAUCAUGAAAGUGGUCAUCCAAGAGCUUGCGAUCCGUGUGGCUGACAAGGGCACCGGUGAGGUCAUUCCACCCUCAACUCAGAUUAAGCAGGUUCC